GUGUAACAACUCACCUGCCGAAGCAACUAGCCCUGAAAAUGGAUGGCGCUCUAGCGUCGUGCCUAUACCGGGCCGUCAACGGCACAGUGGGUGUCUGUCCUUUGGGCAGAACCGUUAAGCCUUGACGAGUAGGAGGGUCGCGGCGGUGUGCGCAGAAGGGUCAGGGCGUGAGCCCGCCUGGAGCCGCCGUCGGCGCAGAUCUUGGUGGUAGUAGCAAAUACUCUAGCGAGGGCCUGGAGGACUGACGUGGAGAAGGGUUUCUUGUGAACAGCCGUUGCACAAGAGUCAGUCGACCCUAAGCUCUAGGAGAAAUCCGAUGGCGAUGGGUGGCUAACAACGUACUUAAACCACGUUGUGUGUUUUUCUUUAUGCCCCUGGCGGGCAAAAGGGAGUCCGGUUCCUAUUCCGGAACCCGGCUGCGUGACCGCAACUCUGCGGGCACUCGCCUGCGAGCGCUCGUCGGGGUAACCCAAACUGGCCCGGAGACGCCGGCGGGGGGUCUGGAAAGAGUUUUCUUUUCUUUAUAAGCGUUCGAGUACCCUGGAAUCCUAUAGCAGGGAGAUAGGGUUUGGAACGCGAAGAGCACCGCAGUUGCGGCGGUGUCCGGACCUUCCCCCCGGACCUUGAAAAUCCGGGUGAGGGCUACGCGGAAGUCGCGCCGGGUCGUACCCAUAUCCGCAGCAGGUCUCCAAGGUUAAGAGCCUCUAGUCGAUAGAAUAAUGUAGGUAAGGGAAGUCGGCAAAC
rnacentral:rRNA from 1 species